CGUGCUGUUUGUUCAGUAACUUGCUCAUAUUGUGCGUUCAUAAAGUCAAAGCCUCCUUCACCUGGCUUUACAACAGAAACGUCCCUUUGUUACUGUUAUAAAGUUGCUGAAAGUAAUCAGACUGCGUGCGGUUGUUUGAUUUCAACUCGUCAUUCAAACCGGAGACUAGUUGCUAUAGUAUUGUGGUUACUGUAUUGCCGCCGACAGCAAACCCUAUUCUCGAUUACAUGUAUAUAUUUAUUUUACUUUAUUUGCUAUAGGCCUACUAUAUUUAAAUAGAUAGAGAGGACAGAGAGGAAGCAGAAUCGUCUAUAUUGACAGACAACAUUCAGAGGGCGUGUACAAGAACGGAUAUUUUCUUUCUGUAGCAGUAGGUUGAACAGUCUGGAAAGGAGACUGGUCGUUUCGGUCCUCCCGAGGUAAUGUAUGGUUGUUUUAAACGAUUUUCAGUAGUUUACUUGUUUUUUUUUUUUUUUAAUGUAUAAUAAAAUGAGCGUAUUUUUUUUUUUUUUUUUUUGUAAACUGUUUGAAUUAUGCUUCUCUUGUUUGCGGUCACGCAUAUGUUUGUUUCUCUUUUUUUAUAGGAGACGCGUUGGCCACUGUUUUGUUACUACUUUGAUUUGGUUAUUGUUUGCUUCUGUGUCAUUUUGCUUUUGUUGAUUUUUGGCCCCUGUGCUUUAGUGUUUACUGUUCGCUUUGAUUCGCGUGUUUUAAACACUGUAUCUUGUGUGUUUUCUUAUGCUUGUUACUUAAAAAAAGGAAAACACCCGACUUGACUUUACUAUUCCCUAGUGUUUAAUACAUUGUAUACUAAUAUAUCUGAGUGCAGCCCUUUGCGGUAAAAACAAAAGCUUCAACUGUCGGACGCUACAGUAUUGUGUUUGUAAAGAAACUAAACUAAAACUCAGAUCACUGUCUCCUCGUGUUUUGUGUGGUAGUAGUUAUUCACGAUUUGUUUUUUUGGCACAACUAAGAUUUGUUGGCACUUGUAUUGUUUUAUGAUUGGGUUGUAUUUUUGUUUAUUUUGUAUUCUUUCCUUGAGCACUUUUCCCUGCAGGCCCCAUGACGUUCCUGUGCUUUACCAAACAUACUCUUGCUUGCUAUGAGGCUGGACCUACUGUAGCAUAUAACAACUGUUAGUUAGCAAAGAAGAUACAUGUACUACAAAGCAAACAUUUAUUUUGUUUGGCAAUUUCUGUAUUUUAAAUAAAAUAAUAUUACCUUGCCUAUGUUGGGGUAAGGUUUAAACCA